GCGGUGCUGGCCGGGCACCGUGGCUGUGCCUGGCAGGCCUGCUGAGGGCACAGGGAUUCAUCGCGCUUGGCUCAGAAGCUUCGUUUUUCUGAGACAGCUCCCAGCUUCACUCAAACGUGGUUACCUACAGAUGCAAACUGGAAACGAUGCACUGUUUGUUCCCUUGCAAUCUCUACGGUGAGCAGGCAGGAGCCCCAGCCAGAGUCCUGUGGUCACACACCCACUGGUGGUCAGGCGAUUACUUUAAAACAUGAAAGAAAUUGCACCUUUUCCUUAAGGGCAAGAUGGUGCUGUGGGCUUUCCUCUCUCCUGAUGAGAUGAUGCAAAUGGACUCCAUAGAGAAACGCUGCCCGUGUAACAAUGCAGUUACGCAACCCGGUGCAUGACACAUGAAUUGCAGCGCACCUGAGAUCCUGAUGAAAUCCUGGGAGCCUGGAGCUGUCAAACAUGGUUUUAAAAAAUAAAGGGAAUACACCCAGCCCACACCCUGACUUUACAACCUUUAAUUAAUUAGAGGAAAGAAAGAG
rnacentral:lncRNA from 1 species